UAUGAAGAACGUAGCGAAAUGCGAUAAGUAGUGUGAAUUGCAGAAUUCAGUGAAUCAUCGAAUCUUUGAACGCACAUUGCGCCUCCUGGUAUUCCGGGAGGCAUGCCUGUUCGAGCGUCAUUAAAAUCACUCAAGCUUAGGUUUACCUAUUGCUUGGUCUUGGAGAUGGAAGCCAAUUUAUUGGAAUCCUCUUCGAAAUUCAAUGGCGAAGACCCUUGCUCUCCCAAGUGUAGUAAUAACUUAUGUCACUGAAGGAAGCGAGAAAUCUUCUGCCGUAACCCCCAUAUUUUCUAUGAUUGACCUCGGAUCAGGUAGGGAUACCCGCUGAACUUAAGCAUAUCAAUAAGCGGAGGA
rnacentral:misc_RNA from 1 species